GUCACUUUUCAGUUGUUUGAAGCACCUGGGCCAGCUGCUUCCUGGUGUCAUUCCACUCCCCUCCUGCAGAGGCGAUAGUGAGGCAAACAUCAAAGUUGUUUGAAGCACCUGGGCCAGCUGCUUCCUGGUGUCAUUCCACUCCCCUCCUCCAGAGGCGAUAGUGAGGCAAACAUCAAAGUUGUUUGAAGCACCUGGACCAGCUGCUUCCUGGUGUCAUUCCACUCCCCUCCUCCAGAGGCGAUAGUGAGG